GCAUUGGUGGUUCAGUAGUAGAAUUCUUGUUUUCCCCAUAGGAGGACUGGGUUCAAUUCCUGGACAAUGCA
rnacentral:tRNA from 1 species